rnacentral:rRNA from 1 species
UAAGGAAUAUUGCUCAAUGGGAGAAAUCCUGAAGCAGCAACGCCGCGUGGAGGAUGAAGGGUCUAUGACUUGUAAACUCCUGUAAAGAAGGAAAAAAUUCCCAUUUGAUGGGAGAUGAUGGUACUUCUGGAGUAAGCCCCGGCUAACUACGUGCCCGCAGCCGCGGUAAUACGUAGGGGGCAAGCGUUGUCCGGAUUUACUGGGUGUAAAGGGUGCUCAGGCGGAUUUGUAAGUCAGAGGUGAAAUCUUACAGCUUAACUGUGAAACUGCCUUUGAUACUGCAAGCCUAGAGUAUGGAAGAGAGUGAUGGAAUAUCUGGUGUAGCAGUGAAAUGCGUAGAUAUCAGAUAGAACACCAAUGGCGAAGGCAGUCACUUGGUCCAUUACUGACGCUAAAGCACGAAAGCGUGGGUAGCAAACA